UACGAAGGGGGCUAGCGUUGCUCGGAAUUACUGGGCGUAAAGGGCGCGUAGGCGGCCGAUCAAGUCAGGCGUGAAAUUCCCGGGCUCAACCUGGGGGCUGCGCUUGAGACUGGUUGGCUAGAGGCCGAGAGAGGGUGGUGGAAUUCCUAGUGUAGAGGUGAAAUUCGUAGAUAUUGGGAAGAACACCGGUGGCGAAGGCGGCCACCUGGCUCGGUACUGACGCUGAGGCGCGACAGCGUGGGGAGCAAACAGG
rnacentral:rRNA from 1 species